UAUUAUUGAAAAUAGUAAAAAGGACAAAUUAGUGAAGACCCCAAGAAUGGUGACCAGUAUGGGUGUACUACUUUUCAGUAGAAACAGGCAGAUGAACACCUUACAAGCAAUUAAUAGUGUCAUGAUGUACAGAGGACAUGUGAGAACAAGGGUUUACAGUACAUUUAACAGAGCAGGGAUAUGCAACUCCUACAAGGCAACAUUAGGCUUAGUAGAUCAAAUAUGUGAAAACUUUGAUAUGCCUGUCAAGAAGUGGUCAAAAGAGAUGUCUAACCAAUAUCAGCUUAACACAGUCACAGAAGAUAGUAGUUUAGGAGACCAUUGCUAUUCUACUAUAGACAACACUAGUACUGUGACCUCU